GUAUGAACGCUAGCUACAGGCUUAACACAUGCAAGUCGAGGGGCUGCAUGGUCUUAGCUUGCUAAGGCCGAUGGCGACCGGCGCACGGGUGAGUAACACGUAUCCAACCUGCCGUCUACUCUUGGACAGCCUUCUGAAAGGAAGAUUAAUACAAGAUGGCAUCAUGAGUCCGCAUGUUCACAUGAUUAAAGGUAUUCCGGUAGACGAUGGGGAUGCGUUCCAUUAGAUAGUAGGCGGGGUAACGGCCCACCUAGUCUUCGAUGGAUAGGGGUUCUGAGAGGAAGGUCCCCCACAUUGGAACUGAGACACGGUCCAAACUCCUACGGGAGGCAGCAGUGAGGAAUAUUGGUCAAUGGGCGAGAGCCUGAACCAGCCAAGUAGCGUGAAGGAUGACUGCCCUAUGGGUUGUAAACUUCUUUUAUAAAGGAAUAAAGUCGGGUAUGCAUACCCGUUUGCAUGUACUUUAUGAAUAAGGAUCGGCUAACUCCGUGCCAGCAGCCGCGGUAAUACGGAGGAUCCGAGCGUUAUCCGGAUUUAUUGGGUUUAAAGGGAGCGUAGAUGGAUGUUUAAGUCAGUUGUGAAAGUUUGCGGCUCAACCGUAAAAUUGCAGUUGAUACUGGAUAUCUUGAGUGCAGUUGAGGCAGGCGGAAUUCGUGGUGUAGCGGUGAAAUGCUUAGAUAUCACGAAGAACUCCGAUUGCGAAGGCAGCCUGCUAAGCUGCAACUGACAUUGAGGCUCGAAAGUGUGGGUAUCAAACAGGAUUAGAUACCCUGGUAGUCCACACGGUAAACGAUGAAUACUCGCUGUUUGCGAUAUACGGCAAGCGGCCAAGCGAAAGCGUUAAGUAUUCCACCUGGGGAGUACGCCGGCAACGGUGAAACUCAAAGGAAUUGACGGGGGCCCGCACAAGCGGAGGAACAUGUGGUUUAAUUCGAUGAUACGCGAGGAACCUUACCCGGGCUUAAAUUGCAGAUGAAUUACGGUGAAAGCCGUAAGCCGCGAGGCAUCUGUGAAGGUGCUGCAUGGUUGUCGUCAGCUCGUGCCGUGAGGUGUCGGCUUAAGUGCCAUAACGAGCGCAACCCUUGUUGUCAGUUACUAACAGGUUCCGCUGAGGACUCUGACAAGACUGCCAUCGUAAGAUGUGAGGAAGGUGGGGAUGACGUCAAAUCAGCACGGCCCUUACGUCCGGGGCUACACACGUGUUACAAUGGGGGGUACAGAGGGCCGCUACCACGCGAGUGGAUGCCAAUCCCAAAAACCUCUCUCAGUUCGGACUGGAGUCUGCAACCCGACUCCACGAAGCUGGAUUCGCUAGUAAUCGCGCAUCAGCCACGGCGCGGUGAAUACGUUCCCGGGCCUUGUACACACCGCCCGUCAAGCCAUGGGAGCCGGGGGUACCUGAAGUGCGUAACCGCGAGGAGCGCCCUAGGG
rnacentral:rRNA from 1 species